AAGAUCGACGUCUGUAGGGGCCUUUAGCGAACAUUGCAUCGUACCUAAGCAGUUCGACUUGUUAAAUUCGGAGAGCUCUGACGGCGCCCCCUGGUUCAACUCUGCCACUGGGAAUCAUGAAAACGGAGCUCAGACAAAUGUCCUAUAUGCUUUCCAAAGAUGCUAGUAUUGCUGAAGAAGUUGAAAGAAGAAAGUUGAAAAUGAAGGUUAGACUGGAACGACAGCCAGUUCUUGCAAAAGUACGGGCAGUUACAAGUCUUCUUAAGCUUUGGUACUCGAAAGAACAGGCUAAGGGGGUAAUUAUUUCUCUAGGAGUUUGUUCGAAUGGUGAGUAAGUCGAAGAAUGAUUAAGAAGUAACAUAAAUACCGACAAUUUCUUCCAUAUUAUUUUGAUUAUCUUAUAUCCAUUCAUUUGUUUCUCCAUUAUCUCAAUCCAAAUGAUUUUCCGAGAAAAAAUAGUUCCGAUUUUGAGACGGAGCUUCUUCUGAAAGAGCGAUGUCAGAACCGUGAAAUACUUCUAUUCGUGGAUGGUACUGAUAUUGACAGUUUUUAACCC